rnacentral:rRNA from 1 species
UUAAGUUAAUAAGGGCGCACGGUGGAUGCCUUGGCACUAGAAGCCGAAGAAGGACGUGACAAACGACGAAAUGCUUUGGGGAGCUGUAAGUAAGCGACGAUCCAGAGAUGUCCGAAUGGGGGAACCCACUAGCUGAUGGCUAGUACUCCUAUCUGUUAAGGAUAGGUAGAGGAAGACGCAGUGAACUGAAACAUCUAAGUAGCUGCAGGAAGAGAAAGCAAAAGCGAUUGCCUGAGUAGCGGCGAGCGAAACGGCAGGAGGGCAAACCGAAGAGUUUACUCUUCGGGGUUGUAGGACUGCAAUGUGGACUUAAAGAUUAUAGAAGAAUGACAUGGGAAGGUCAGCCAAAGAGAGUAAGAGCCUCGUAUUCGAAAUAGUCUUUAUACCUAGCAGUAUCCUGAGUACGGCGGGACACGAGAAAUCCCGUCGGAAUCUGGGAGGACCAUCUCCCAACCCUAAAUACUCUCUAGUGACCGAUAGUGAACCAGUACCGUGAGGGAAAGGUGAAAAGCACCCCGGGAGGGGAGUGAAAUAGAACCUGAAACCGUGUGCCUACAACAAGUUCGAGCCCGUUAAUGGGUGAGAGCGUGCCUUUUGUAGAAUGAACCGGCGAGUUACGAUAUGAUGCGAGGUUAAGUUGAAGAGACGGAGCCGUAGGGAAACCGAGUCUGAAUAGGGCGCAAUAGUAUUAUGUCGUAGACCCGAAACCAUGUGACCUACCCAUGAGCAGGUUGAAGGUGAGGUAAAACUCACUGGAGGACCGAACCAGGGCACGUUGAAAAGUGCUUGGAUGACUUGUGGGUAGCGGAGAAAUUCCAAACGAACUUGGAGAUAGCUGGUUCUCUCCGAAAUAGCUUUAGGGCUAGCGUCGACAUUAAGAUUCUUGGAGGUAGAGCACUGUUUGGGUGAGGGGUCCAUCCCGGAUUACCAAUCUCAGAUAAACUCCGAAUGCCAAUGAAUUAUGGUCGGCAGUCAGACUGCGAGUGCUAAGAUCCGUAGUCGAAAGGGAAACAGCCCAGACCACCAGCUAAGGUCCCAAAAUAAUUGUUAAGUGGAAAAGGAUGUGGGGUUGCACAGACAACUAGGAUGUUAGCUUAGAAGCAGCUAUUCAUUCAAAGAGUGCGUAAUAGCUCACUAGUCGAGUGACCCUGCGCCGAAAAUGUACCGGGGCUAAAACAAUUUACCGAAGCUGUGGAUACCUUUAUAGGUAUGGUAGGAGAGCGUUCUAUGUGUGGAGAAGGUGUACCGUGAGGAGCGCUGGAACGCAUAGAAGUGAGAAUGCCGGUAUGAGUAGCGAAAGACAGGUGAGAAUCCUGUCCACCGUAAGACUAAGGUUUCCAGGGGAAGGCUCGUCCGCCCUGGGUUAGUCGGGACCUAAGGAGAGACCGAAAGGUGUAUCCGAUGGACAACAGGUUGAUAUUCCUGUACUAGAGUAUGUAGUGAAGGAGGGACGCAGUAGGCUAACUAAAGCGUGCGACUGGAAGUGCACGUCUAAGCAGUGAGGUGUGAAUUGAGUUAAAUGCUUAAUUCUAUAACAUUGAGCUGUGAUGGGGAGCGAAGUUUAGUAGCGAAGUUAGUGACGUCACACUGCCAAGAAAAGCUUCUAGCGUUAAUCAUACUCUACCCGUACCGCAAACCGACACAGGUAGUCGAGGCGAGUAGCCUCAGGUGAGCGAGAGAACUCUCGUUAAGGAACUCGGCAAAAUGACCCCGUAACUUCGGGAGAAGGGGUGCUGGCUUAAAGUCAGCCGCAGUGAAUAGGCCCAAGCAACUGUUUAUCAAAAACACAGCUCUCUGCUAAAUCGUAAGAUGAUGUAUAGGGGGUGACGCCUGCCCGGUGCUGGAAGGUUAAGAGGAGUGCUUAGCGUAAGCGAAGGUAUGAAUUGAAGCCCCAGUAAACGGCGGCCGUAACUAUAACGGUCCUAAGGUAGCGAAAUUCCUUGUCGGGUAAGUUCCGACCCGCACGAAAGGCGUAAUGAUUUGGGCACUGUCUCAACGAGAGACUCGGUGAAAUUUUAGUACCUGUGAAGAUGCAGGUUACC